UCAGGAGCCCUCUCAACAGUGAGGGCAAGGAAUGCUCUUUUAUGCCAUGCCAGGAGGGCAGGGACACAGCAGCAUUCAGCCCAUUGAACCAGCCUCUGAGUUCCAUGUUCUGAGGGACCACCACAGCCCACUGGGACUCUCUUUGGUGUCACAGUCUCCAACUCGGUGUUGCUGAAUGGCCUGACAGUCAUGAGGAUGAACAGCCAGCAGAGGAAGGGUGUUCCUACACACUUGUUAAGACCAGAAUGACCAGCUUUUCCUAAGUUUAACAAGUCGCUGGAGUUAUAGGAGAUGGCGGAUUCAUCCCAGUCCCGAGGAAAUGCCUUUUCAGGCUUUACCCCACUUGCUGACGCAGCUCAGACAUCGGAAACGCGAGUUUAAGAACGCGGCGGAGUUCUUAAACUCCGGGGCGAGGGGAGCGGGAGAGACUUCUCAAACUCUUCACAGGGGUCAUGCAAACUGGCAUAAAGUCUUUUAACAGCAAAAAGUUCCAAAAAGUCCGGAACAACCGCAGGCUUUGCGCUCCUCCGGCCGCCGGGGAGCGGGGCAGGGACAGCCCGGGGCUCCCCCGACCCGCCGCAGCCGGGACGCGGCGCUGGGAACUCUCGACGGCUGUUGCUCGGAGUUGGUGUUUUUGCGAUCCCCGCCGUGAACUUCGCUCACGAGUUGAAAGCUCCCGCGGUCCCCGCGCCCCGCCCGGCCCCGUCCCGGGGC